GCUUAUCCAAGGCACGUCAACUUCAUUUUGGAGUUUGGCCAGCUUUCUUCGUAGUGACUGUGACACUUUGGUCGCCUAAUAAUAUCUUGUUCAGCAUUCGAUUGGACGACAAGACACUCAAAGGAGUCGGCAGUUCAGUUUUUCUGCUGCCAUUGGAACCUGACCCCUGCUACCGCUUCACUCCUGCCAUCCACCGGAGCAGACAGCCACCACCACUGGACCCCACCACUAGCCGGCCUACUAUCUUCCUCUGACGGACCCGCUCCUUCCCAGAAAGCACCGACCCGUUCUCCAUCCUGGAAACUUUGAUGUGCUUUUCCCCCCUCAGAAACCGGGACUCGAUACUUUAAAUAAAACCUGUUAAUUCACA